AGUCGAACGGUAACAGGUCUUCGGAUGCUGACGAGUGGCGAACGGGUGAGUAAUACAUCGGAACGUGCCCAGUAAUGGGGGAUAGCUCGGCGAAAGCCGGAUUAAUACCGCAUACGCCCUGAGGGGGAAAGUGGGGGACCGCAAGGCCUCACGUUAUUGGAGCGGCCGAUGGCUGAUUAGCUAGUUGGUAGGGUAAAGGCCUACCAAGGCGACGAUCAGUAGCUGGUCUGAGAGGACGAUCAGCCACACUGGGACUGAGACACGGCCCAGACUCCUACGGGAGGCAGCAGUGGGGAAUUUUGGACAAUGGGGGAAACCCUGAUCCAGCAAUGCCGCGUGUGCGAAGAAGGCCUUCGGGUUGUAAAGCACUUUUGUCAGGGAAGAAAUCCUUUGGGCUAAUACCCUAGGGGGAUGACGGUACCUGAAGAAUAAGCACCGGCUAACUACGUGCCAGCAGCCGCGGUAAUACGUAGGGUGCAAGCGUUAAUCGGAAUUACUGGGCGUAAAGCGUGCGCAGGCGGUUGUGUAAGACAGGUGUGAAAUCCCCGGGCUUAACCUGGGAAUUGCAUUUGUGACUGCACGACUAGAGUGUGUCAGAGGGGGGUGGAAUUCCACGUGUAGCAGUGAAAUGCGUAGAUAUGUGGAGGAACACCAAUGGCGAAGGCA
rnacentral:rRNA from 1 species